rnacentral:rRNA from 1 species
GACAGAGGUUCCGAGCGUUAGGCGGAAUCACUGGGCUUAAAGCGUGUGUAGGCGGGCGGGCAAGUACCUUGUGAAAUCCCACGGCUCAACCGUGGAACGGCUGGGUAUACUGCCUGUCUUGAGCCAACUAGGGGCGAGCGGAACAGACGGUGGAGCGGUGAAAUGCGUAGAUAUCGUCUGGAACGCCAAAGGUGAAAACAGCUCGCUGGGGUUGUGCUGACGCUGAGACACGAAAGCCAGGGGAGCGAACGGG